GGUUUACCUGUGUGACUGCGUACCUUUUGUAUAAUGGGUCAGCGACUUAUAUUCUGUAGCAAGGUUAACCGUAUAGGGGAGCCGGAGGGAAACCGAGUCUUAACCGGGCGUUAAGUUGCAGGGUAUAGACCCGAAACCCGGUGAUCUAGCCAUGGGCAGGUUGAAGGUUGGGUAACACUAACUGGAGGACCGAACCGACUAAUGUUGAAAAAUUAGCGGAUGACCUGUGGCUGGGGGUGAAAGGCCAAUCAAACCGGGAGAUAGCUGGUUCUCCCCGAAAGCUAUUUAGGUAGCGCCUCGUGAAUUCAUCUCCGGGGGUAGAGCACUGUUUCGGCUAGGGGGCCAUCCCGGCUUACCAACCCGAUGCAAACUGCGAAUACCGGAGAAUGUUAUCACGGGAGACACACGGCGGGUGCUAACGUCCGUCGUGAAGAGGGAAACAACCCAGACCGCCAGCUAAGGUCCCAAAGUCAUGGUUAAGUGGGAAACGAUGUGGGAAGGCCCAGACAGCCAGGAUGUUGGCUUAGAAGCAGCCAUCAUUUAAAGAAAGCGUAAUAGCUCACUGGUCGAGUCGGCCUGCGCGGAAGAUGUAACGGGGCUAAACCAUGCACCGAAGCUGCGGCAGCGACACUGUGUGUUGUUGGGUAGGGGAGCGUUCUGUAAGCCUGUGAAGGUGUGUCGUGAGGCAUGCUGGAGGUAUCAGAAGUGCGAAUGCUGACAUAAGUAACGAUAAAGCGGGUGAAAAGCCCGCUCGCCGGAAGACCAAGGGUUCCUGUCCAACGUUAAUCGGGGCAGGGUGAGUCGACCCCUAAGGCGAGGCCGAAAGGCGUAGUCGAUGGGAAACGGGUUAAUAUUCCCGUACUUGGUGUUACUGCGAAGGGGGGACGGAGAAGGCUAUGUUGGCCGGGCGACGGUUGUCCCGGUUUAAGCGUGUAGGUGUGUGUUCCAGGUAAAUCCGGUUCACUUUAACACUGAGGCGUGAUGACGAGGCACUACGGUGCUGAAGCAACAAAUGCCCUGCUUCCAGGAAAAGCCUCUAAGCAUCAGGUAACAUCAAAUCGUACCCCAAACCGACACAGGUGGUCAGGUAGAGAAUACCAAGGCGCUUGAGAGAACUCGGGUGAAGGAACUAGGCAAAAUGGUGCCGUAACUUCGGGAGAAGGCACGCUGACACGUAGGUGAAGUGAUUUACUCACGGAGCUGAAGUCAGUCGAAGAUACCAGCUGGCUGCAACUGUUUAUUAAAAACACAGCACUGUGCAAACACGAAAGUGGACGUAUACGGUGUGACGCCUGCCCGGUGCCGGAAGGUUAAUUGAUGGGGUCAGCGCAAGCGAAGCUCCUGAUCGAAGCCCCGGUAAACGGCGGCCGUAACUAUAACGGUCCUAAGGUAGCGAAAUUCCUUGUCGGGUAAGUUCCGACCUGCACGAAUGGCGUAAUGAUGGCCAGGCUGUCUCCACCCGAGACUCAGUGAAAUUGAACUCGCUGUGAAGAUGCAGUGUACCCGCGGCAAGACGGAAAGACCCCGUGAACCUUUACUAUAGCUUGACACUGAACAUUGAGCCUUGAUGUGUAGGAUAGGUGGGAGGCUUUGAAGCGUGGACGCCAGUCUGCGUGGAGCCGACCUUGAAAUACCACCCUUUAAUGUUUGAUGUUCUAACGUGGACCCGUGAUCCGGGUUGCGGACAGUGUCUGGUGGGUAGUUUGACUGGGGCGGUCUCCUCCUAAAGAGUAACGGAGGAGCACGAAGGUUGGCUAAUCCUGGUCGGACAUCAGGAGGUUAGUGCAAUGGCAUAAGCCAGCUUGACUGCGAGCGUGACGGCGCGAGCAGGUGCGAAAGCAGGUCAUAGUGAUCCGGUGGUUCUGAAUGGAAGGGCCAUCGCUCAACGGAUAAAAGGUACUCCGGGGAUAACAGGCUGAUACCGCCCAAGAGUUCAUAUCGACGGCGGUGUUUGGCACCUCGAUGUCGGCUCAUCACAUCCUGGGGCUGAAGUAGGUCCCAAGGGUAUGGCUGUUCGCCAUUUAAAGUGGUACGCGAGCUGGGUUUAGAACGUCGUGAGACAGUUCGGUCCCUAUCUGCCGUGGGCGCUGGAGAACUGAGGGGGGCUGCUCCUAGUACGAGAGGACCGGAGUGGACGCAUCACUGGUGUUCGGGUUGUCAUGCCAAUGGCACUGCCCGGUAGCUAAAUGCGGAAGAGAUAAGUGCUGAAAGCAUCUAAGCACGAAACUUGCCCCGAGAUGAGUUCUCC
rnacentral:rRNA from 1 species